UACAGAGGGUGCGAGCGUUGUCCGGAAUCACUGGGCGUAAAGGGCGCGUAGGCGGCUUGAUAAGGUUGCGGUGAAAGCCCGGGGCUCAACCCCGGGUCGGCCGUGCGAACUGUCGAGCUGGAGCACUGUAGAGGCAGGUGGAAUUCCGGGUGUAGCGGUGGAAUGCGUAGAGAGUCGGAAGAACACCGGUGGCGAAGGCGGCCUGCUGGGCAGUGGCUGACGCUGAGGCGCGACAGCGUGGGGAGCAAACAGG
rnacentral:rRNA from 1 species